rnacentral:tRNA from 1 species
AUUUAUAUAGUUUAAUUAAAAACUUUAUAUUUUCAUUAUAAAAACAGAAAUCUUAUUUCUUAUAAAUA